rnacentral:rRNA from 1 species
GACGAACGCUGGCGGCGUGCUUAACACAUGCGAGUCGAACGGGAUGAUUUAGAAGCUUGCUUUUAGAGAAUCUAGUGGCAAACGGGUGAGUAACACGUAGGCAACCUGCCGACAGGAUGGGGACAACAUUCCGAAAGGAAUGCUAAUACCGAAUGAAGCGCAGGAGAGGCAUCUCUCCUGCGUGAAAGAUGGCCUCUAUUUAUAAGCUAUCACCUGUCGAUGGGCCUGCGUCUGAGUAGCUGGUUGGUGAGGUAACGGCUCACCAAGGCGACGAUCAGUAGCCGGUCUGAGAGGAUGAACGGCCACAUUGGGACUGAGACACGGCCCAGACUCCUACGGGAGGCAGCAGUGGGGAAUCUUCCGCAAUGGGCGCAAGCCUGACGGAGCAACGCCGCGUGAGUGAAGAAGGUCUUCGGAUCGUAAAGCUCUGUUGAUGGGGACGAACGUGCGAAGGGUGAAUAAACCUUUGUAAUGACGGUACCUUUCGAGGAAGCCACGGCUAACUACGUG